AGAGUUUGAUCCUGGCUCAGGACGAACGCUGGCUGCGUGCUUAACACAUGCAAGUCGAACGCUGAAGCCGACAGCUUGCUGUUGGUGGAUGAGUGGCGAACGGGUGAGUAACACGUGAGUAACCUGCCCCUGAUUUCGGGAUAAGCCUGGGAAACUGGGUCUAAUACCGGAUAUGACCAAUCCUUGCAUGAGGGUUGGUGGAAAGUUUUUCGAUCGGGGAUGGGCUCGCGGCCUAUCAGCUUGUUGGUGGGGUAAUGGCCUACCAAGGCGACGACGGGUAGCCGGCCUGAGAGGGCGACCGGCCACACUGGGACUGAGACACGGCCCAGACUCCUACGGGAGGCAGCAGUGGGGAAUAUUGCACAAUGGGGGAAACCCUGAUGCAGCGACGCAGCGUGCGGGAUGACGGCCUUCGGGUUGUAAACCGCUUUCAGCAGGGAAGAAGCGAAAGUGACGGUACCUGCAGAAGAAGUACCGGCUAACUACGUGCCAGCAGCCGCGGUAAUACGUAGGGUACGAGCGUUGUCCGGAAUUAUUGGGCGUAAAGAGCUCGUAGGUGGUUGGUCACGUCUGCUGUGGAAACGCAACGCUUAACGUUGCGCGUGCAGUGGGUACGGGCUGACUAGAGCGCAGUAGGGGAGUCUGGAAUUCCUGGUGUAGCGGUGAAAUGCGCAGAUAUCAGGAGGAACACCGGUGGCGAAGGCGGGACUCUGGGCUGUAACUGACACUGAGGAGCGAAAGCAUGGGGAGCGAACAGGAUUAGAUACCCUGGGUAGUCCAUGCCGUAAACGUUGGGCACUAGGUGUGGGGGACAUUUCCACGUUUCUCCGCGCCGUAGCUAACGCAUUAAGUGCCCCGCCUGGGGAGUACGGUCGCAGGCUAAACUCAAGGGAUUUGACGG
rnacentral:rRNA from 1 species